AGUGAACGCUGGCGGUAGGCCUAACACAUGCAAGUCGAACGGCAGCACAGUAAGAGCUUGCUCUUACGGGUGGCGAGUGGCGGACGGGUGAGGAAUACAUCGGAAUCUACUUUUUCGUGGGGGAUAACGUAGGGAAACUUACGCUAAUACCGCAUACGACCUACGGGUGAAAGCAGGGGAUCUUCGGACCUUGCGCGAUUGAAUGAGCCGAUGUCGGAUUAGCUAGUUGGCGGGGUAAAGGCCCACCAAGGCGACGAUCCGUAGCUGGUCUGAGAGGAUGACAGGCCAACUUGGAAUGGGGACACGUCCCAGCCCCCUAGGGGAGGGCGCAGUGGGAAAUAUGGGACAAUGGGCGCAAGCUUGCCCCAGCCAUCCCGCGGGGGUGAAGCAGGCUUUGGGGUUUAAAAGCCUUUUUUUGGGGAAGAAAAAGCAGCAGGUAAAUACCCCGUUGUUCUGACGGUACCCAAAGAAUAAGCCCCGGCUAACUUCGUG
rnacentral:rRNA from 1 species